UAAUUUAUGUUUUGAAAAAUAAAACUAGCUGCAAUGAGAUAUCCAAAACUGAAAAUGCCUGUCCAUUUCACACAAAGCAUGGUUGGCUAGGAGUGUCAAAGCAAUUGCAAAUAUAGGACGUGGACUAAAAACAAGCUUUAAUCUUCAGAAGUCUGUAUAUGACAAAACUAGAAGAGGAGACGUUAACUGGCUCCUGCCUUUGAAAAAUGACAUCACCUUAUUUCUGUGAUUGUCGCCAGCAUGGAACUGCACAUACGUACCUCUGAACAAAAACGUGAAGGCAGCAAGAUAUCUCACUACCAGUUACUCACACUGGCUGUCAGGGUUUUGUUUGUUUUUUAAAUAUAUAUUUUAAAAACAAACAACAAAAACACUUGCAGCUUAAAACUGUUUCGAUUCUAAACCAGGCUUGUCAAAGACUUUGUGGAAAUCAGUUCAUCAGUCGAAGCCCAAUCAUGCACUUUAAAAACAAAUUUUUAAUUCUUAAAUGUCCUUUUGUCUGGAUCUUGGUAAUAAAUCAACAGGUGUGCACAGGCAAAAACAGCUGUGAUGCCGGUGGAAGCUAACUGAAGGUGAACCCAAACUGGCACUUAUUUACAACUCUUCUGUCCUGUGUUUUUCACAUUCAAAGUGCGAGCAUGUUUAUGUUUGGAGCUGGACUUGUUUUGAAGUCCGUGUCCCUGUAUGGACUUACGCUUCCAUUACCAAAAAAUAGUACUUAUAAGUAUAUAAAAAGUAAACUAGAAGUAUACUUGAAACAUACUUGCAUAUACUACUUUUUGGUAAGGGUUACAUCACAGCCCCUCGACAACCACUCAGCUGAUUCUACACAGACGUUACUUUCACAAUAGCCAUGAGAUUGUGCUACUUUUCUGAUGAGCCAAAACCACAUCAUACAUCAAGGGGAAAAUCAGUUUAGUUGGUGUUGAACAUUACGUGGUGCCGCUGGGAAUUUCAUGCUAAUGCCUGCAGCACAUCAUAUCAUUUCAUAAUGUCAUUGCUAAAAAUAAUUCAAUAUGUACAUUUAUGAUAUACAAUGAGAGAGCAGCAUUUUUUUUAUAGAAGGUAACAGCGGCUCUGCUAUAAAACCAGCAUUCUAAUCCAAUUACAUUUGUUCCAUAAACCUGAUGAGCUAAUCGUGUGUAGACGGUGGUAAAAUAUUCGACCGUUUCACAGUUGAUGUAUAACUCUGCACCCUGACCGCGUCGCUGCGCAGGUGUCAAUAAUGGCGUUGUCAGCUGAGAGCGACAGAAGCUAGUGCAACGACAAUGAUGCCAAAAUGUGUGGAUUUAAUGGAUUUAACUGGACUGAUUGAUGGCUUUACCAUGGACUUAACUCAAUGCAGCUGACGAGAUGGAGAAA